rnacentral:rRNA from 1 species
GACGAACGCCCUUUGCGUGCUUAACACAUGCAAGUCGAACGGAAAGGCCCUGCUUUUGUGGGGUGCUCGAGUGGCGAACGGGUGAGUAACACGUGAGUAACCUGCCCUUGACUUUGGGAUAACUUCAGGAAACUGGGGCUAAUACCGGAUAGGAGCUCCUGCUGCAUGGUGGGGGUUGGAAAGUUUCGGCGGUUGGGGAUGGACUCGCGGCUUAUCAGCUUGUUGGUGGGGUAGUGGCUUACCAAGGCUUUGACGGGUAGCCGGCCUGAGAGGGUGACCGGCCACAUUGGGACUGAGAUACGGCCCAGACUCCUACGGGAGGCAGCAGUGGGGAAUAUUGCACAAUGGGCGGAAGCCUGAUGCAGCAACGCCGCGUGCGGGAUGACGGCCUUCGGGUUGUAAACCGCUUUCGCCUGUGACGAAGCGUGAGUGACGGUAAUGGGUAAAGAAGCACCGGCUAACUACGUGCCAGCAGCCGCGGUGAUACGUAGGGUGCGAGCGUUGUCCGGAUUUAUUGGGCGUAAAGGGCUCGUAGGUGGUUGAUCGCGUCGGAAGUGUAAUCUUGGGGCUUAACCCCUGAGCGUGCUUUCGAUACGGGUUGACUUGAGGAAGGUAGGGGAGAAUGGAAUUCCUGGUGGAGCGGUGGAAUGCGCAGAUAUCAGGAGGAACACCAGUGGCGAAGGCGGUUCUCUGGGCCUUUCCUGACGCUGAGGAGCGAAAGCGUGGGGAGCGAACAGGCUUAGAUACCCUGGUAGUCCACGCUGUAAACGGUGGGUACUAGGUGUGGGGUCCAUUCCACGGGUUCCGUGCCGUAGCUAACGCUUUAAGUACCCCGCCUGGGGAGUACGGCCGCAAGGCUAAAACUCAAAGGAAUUGACGGGGCCCCGCACAAGCGGCGGAGCAUGCGGAUUAAUUCGAUGCAACGCGUAGAACCUUACCUGGGUUUGACAUGGAUCGGAAGCGCUCAGAGAUGGGUGUGCCUCUUUUGGGGUCGGUUCACAGGUGGUGCAUGGCUGUCGUCAGCUCGUGUCGUGAGAUGUUGGGUUAAGUCCCGCAACGAGCGCAACCCUUGUUCACUGUUGCCAGCACGUUAUGGUGGGGACUCAGUGGAGACCGCCGGGGUCAACUCGGAGGAAGGUGGGGAUGACGUCAAGUCAUCAUGCCCCUUAUGUCCAGGGCUUCACGCAUGCUACAAUGGCUGGUACAGAGAGUGGCGAGCCUGUGAGGGUGAGCGAAUCUCGGAAAGCCGGUCUCAGUUCGGAUUGGGGUCUGCAACUCGACCUCAUGAAGUCGGAGUCGCUAGUAAUCGCAGAUCAGCAACGCUGCGGUGAAUACGUUCCCGGGGCU